AGCCUUCUGCCACCUCAGCCCCCUCUGGACUUCGGGCACCGACGAACAUGGGAUAGAGGCUGAGGAGGGGCUGAAGUCAGCUUGGCACAGGCCACCGCUUGGUAAGAACAGCCUGGGCACUGUGGACUGCGUGUUGAUGGCAGGAGGCAAACAGGUUCCUGGGUGGAAAGGGAUUAGUCCCACGUGAAGCCCCACCUUCAAGGCAGGGACGGCCUGAAGCCUGGUGGCCGGGCUGUCAGAUCCAGGUGGAGUGGGAACUCAUGGUGCUUUUUACCAGCCUGCCCAUGGCUGCCCAUGGAUGAAUCAGCACGUACUUUCUCCCUUCUGAGACCGUAAAAUCCCCGAAACCAGCCAAACUCACAUAGACAUCAGGAUGACUUGCCUGUGGAAAGGAGCUACCCAUUCUGGUUCUCCGCUCCACUGAGAGCUGCACUCAUCACGACAACUUGCAUGUGAACGGAACCACCCACUCCAGGUCUCCUCUCUGCUGAGGUGGACACUCAUUGGGACAACCCGCCUGCGGAAAGGAGCUGUCCACUUCCGGUCCUCUGCAGCCGUUCUGUCAAUGAAGCUCCUCUCUGCCUUGCUCACCCUCCACUUGUCCGUGUACCUCAUUCUUGUCGUGGAACAAGACCCUGGGACCCAGUGAAUGGUGGGACUGAAAGAGCGGUAACACAAACAGGGCUGAAACAUGCCCACCGCUCGCCACUUUGCGGGCGACGAGGAGAAACGAGCUUCUGUGGCCCUUCAGGAAUCCCAGACCUAGAGACUCCUGAGCCAGGGCUGUGACACCCUCUUUGGGGCUCCGCAGUUUCUGGUGUCUCCAAGCUUCCGGGUGCCAUCGUAUUUCCCAGUGCCUGCAGUGGAAGCCAUUUGUGGUAACGCCUGGUCCAGCCAGUCUCGCACGGAACCCACGCCUGUGCUGGCGCCUGGAGCUGCCUGCCCAGUGGCAGCAAGCACGCCUGGCUGUGUGCAGUGGCCAGACCCCGUGCUUAUUAACACACCCCUUGCUACUCCUCACCAGGCUCGCCCUUGGCAGGUGUGGGAUCCGGGUCAGUAUUAUGAGCCAAAUACAGCCUGCUGGGGCGAGUGAGCAGAAGAGGCCAGCGGGCCCGUGUAAAACUCAGGCAAAGGCACCACCAGCCACAGAGGUUUCCAACUGAAAAAGCGACACGGUUUGAUCUUCGCAGUGGCCUGUGGCUAAGACUGAUAUUAAAGGAAGAAUUAAAAUCCUGAAUCAAUCAUGAACUUUAAAGUUAAGAUGAAUUCAAGGAUAUCAAACUUGACUGCAUAAGAGAGUAUCAUGUUUGGAGAGAAGAAAUAAUUUUAUUGCGAGACACAAAGUGGUGUCUGUCACUUAAAUCCUUCACCAAUCUACCUCCUGUACUCGUGGAAAAAAAGGAAUCAGGAAGAGAGCAGCAGAAACCCAGGGGUUACCUGAGGAUAAUUUAGGUCUUUAUUAUGUACAUUCUCAGCUCACCGCUGUGCAGAAUUGGUAUGAAAAUCAAUUCAGGAAAGACAGCCUGUGUGUUGAGGAUGGCAUAAGGAACAGAUGACAACCACCACCAUCAUCAGCUACUUCAUUAAGAUGAAACAUCAGUGUUGGAAUUUCUCUACCAUUAUUCUUCUCACCCUAUGAGAUAAUAAACCCUCUUAAUUUUUAUUUAUUUUUAUAAAGGUAUGCUGUUCCUUGUAGCUACACAUUUCCUAAGGCAUAGAGUGAUUCUAUUUCCACUGUGAGAACAAUUCAUUUUGGUAUUUUUGAAGAGUAGUUUUAAUAUAUAUACCCUAGUGGGACCCAUAAAGAAUUAUGUGCUUGUAUCAUUCCCUCCCGUUAAGUGUGGGCAAAAUGUGUAAGUCGCUUCCAGGCAGUAGAAUAUAAAAAAGUGGUAGGAUAGUCACUCUCUAGAUUAGGUUACUUAUGUAAGACCCUCUUUCAGCAGACAAGAAUAAGAUUCUUCUACUGGCCUUGAGAAAGUAAGCUGCACGCUGUAAGAAGGCCACAGUCAAGAAACUAAAGGUGGGCACCAGGAGCUGAGGGCAACACCUGCCUGAUAGUUAGCAAGAAAAUGAGGGCCUCAAUCCUUCAACCACAAGAAAUUGAAUUCUACCAACAAUCAUGUGAGCUUGAACGUUGAGCUCCAGAAAGAAUGUGGUCCAGCUCAUAGCUUAUUAGCAGUCUUUUAAGACCCUGAGCCCAAGAUCCACCCAAGCCUUGCUUAGAUUCCUGACCUAUAGAUGAUGUCAGAUAAUAAAUGUAUGUGAUUUUAGGUUUUUGGUGAUUGGUUAUAUGGAAAUUAAUAUCUAAUAUAUCAAGUCACCAAUACUUGCUCUGAUAGGUAAUUUUUAUUUCACAAUCAGUUCAUAUUCACCAAAUCUAUAAUUGAGGCUUCUGUGUUUUGUGACCCAAAGAACAAACAUUACAACUCAUGAUUUGCAAUGUCUAUUAUUUCACCAUUUAUAGCCAGUUAUGCCAUCUUCAGAUAAAAUUUAUACCAUCAACUAAGCUUUCUAAAGCAAUCUUCUAUUAUGUUUCUUUCAUGAAAUGUGUCAUUUUUGUUUUACUCCAUAAAAUUGACAAACCUCUUUAUAAAUAUCAAAUAUUAGCACCUGGCAAUGGUGUGGAAAAAUAGGCACUCUCAUAUUAUGACAGUGGAUAUGAUAAAUUGUAACAACAUUUUAAAGAGUAAUUUGGCAAUACAUUUUAAAGCUUUAAAAUAUUUUUUCUUCAUUACCUCAAUACAUCAAAUAAUUCAAAUCAAGUACUUAAUCUUAUACCCAACAUACCUCAUCAAACUGCACUUGUGCAAAACAAAAUGCAUCUGUUUUUCCUCUCAACUCUAACUAACCCCCUUUCCACUUUUCAGUGUUCACUAUUUUAGUGAAUGUUACUUCUAUGACCCCAAUUGUCCAAGCCUGGAUAUUUCCCUCCCCCAGCUCUCUUUAUCAUUCAAAACGAAGAUUUGCCAGUUCUGUAUCUGCCAUUGCUACUCUCCCAUCAUACUGAUCUUUUAAUAACAUUAUGCUAUUAAGAACUCACUAUGUUAUUACUUAAAGAAAGUCCUUCAAUUACUCUCCAUUACAUGAAUUACAAGGGCCACCUAACCCAGCCCUUGUUUUUUUGAUGGCUCCUUCUUUGACAAUGUAGAAGGGGAAAAAAAAAAAAAGAAUCUUAGAUCUGGAAGGGCCUUAGAUAAUCAGUUAGCUUAAUGCUCAUUUAAUAGAAUGUAAGACAAAGUCCUGACUAUUUCAAAAUGAUGCUCUCUCAAGUUUUGUAUAGAUUUAGAAUGCAUGUUUAAUAUUCUUUGUUCAGACUCAAGGUCAUUUUAUCUUCUGCAUUAUAUAAACUGGUAAAUUGAAUUUAAUCUGUUGUGUAGUUUUAGUUUUGUUAUAAAACAUCAUUUUUAAAUAGAACACUUUUGGACCAGUUUUAGGUUCAGAUAAAAAUUGAGUGGAAGGUACAGAGAUUUUCAAUAUAUCUCUGCAUGUGCACGUGCAUAACCUUUGCUAUUAUUAGCCUCCCCCACCAAACUAGUACAUUUGUUAAAACUGAUAAAUGGCACUGAUGCAUUAUUAUUACCCAAAGCCCAUAGUUUACAUUAGGGUUAGAUCUUGGCAUUUUAUUUUCUAUUGAUUUGGACAAAUAUAUAGUGACAUGUAUCCACCAUUAUGGUAUCAUGCAGAGUCAUUUCACUGACCUAAAACUCCUCUAUUCUCCACUUAUUUAUCCCUAACCACUGGCAACCACUGAUCUUUGACUGAGAACUGGCCUUCACAGAAGUUAUUAAUCUUGGUAAAGUUCAGCUCAUCAGCUUUUUUCUUUUGUGGGUUGUGCCUCGGUGUUGCAUGCAAAAAGUCAUUGCCAUACCCUAGAUCUUCUAGAUUUUCUCUUACAUCAUCUUCUAGGAGUUUUAUAGUAUUACAUUUUAUAUUUAAGCAUAAAAUCCAUUUGAGUUAAUAUUCAAAAAAGGUGUGUGUAAAGUCUAAGUUUUGAUUUUUUUUCAUGUGAGUGUCCAGUUGUUCCAGCACCAUUUGUAGAAAAGAUUUUUUUCCUACUGUAUUGCCUUACUUUUUUGUCAAAGAUCAGUUGACUGUAUCUAUGUGGGUCUAUUUUUGGACUUGCCCUUCUAUUCCAUUAAUCUAUUUGUCUAUUAUUUUGCCAACAUUACACUGUCUUUAUUACUGGCUUUAUAGUAAGUCAUGAAGUCAAAUAGUGACAGUCCUCCACCUUUUUUUCUCCUGCAAUAUUGCGUUGGCUUUUCAGUGCCUUUUGCCUCUCCGUACCCUCUCCUAACUAAUUACAGGCCUAUUUAGAUUUAAUAUUUCUUUAUUAUUUAGUCCUGAUUUUUUUUUCCUAGAAACUUGUCCAUUUCAUCCAGGUUACUCAAUUUGUUGGUAUACAAUUGGUCACAGUACUCUCUUAUAUGUCUUUUUAUUUCUAUAAAUUAAAUAGUGAUGUUCUCAUUUUCAUUUCUGGUUUUAGUAAUGUAAGUGUUUUUUCUUUAUUUUCUUUAUCUAUAGUUAAAAAUUUGUCAUUUUUUCUUUUUAAGUAACAAACUUCGGGUCUCAUUGAUUUGCUAUAUUUUCUUUUCAUUCCCUAUUUUGUCUAUCUUUCCUCUAAUAUUUAUUAUUUUCUUUCUUCUAUUAACUUUAGUUUUAUAUUUUUAUUUUUAUUUAGUUCCUUUAGCGGAAAAGUUAGGUUGUUGAUUUAAGAUGUUUCUUGUUUUUUAAUAUGUUUAUAGCCAUAAAUCUUACCUUAUCACUGCUUUUGCUUUGUUCCAUAAGUUUUCGUAUGUGUGUGUUUUCAUUUUUAUUUAUUUUGAUCUAUUUUGUAAUUUACUUUUCUUCUUUGAUCCAUUGGUUGUUUAAAAGUGUGCUGUUUAAUUUUUACAAUUUCAUAAAUUUUCUAUUUUUAAUUUUGUUAUUGAUUAUGUUUUGUGAUUGAUUGUUAACUUUAUCCCAUUUAGGUAGAACAAGAUACGUUGUUUUAUUUAUCAUUUUAAAUCUAUUCAGACAAUUUGUAGCCUAACAUUGUUUAUUCUGGAAAAUGUCUCACUUGCCCUUGUGAAGAAUGUACAUAGGUGUGGUCAUCUCAAUUGAUGUAGAAAACACAUUUGAAAAAAAUAACAAUCUUCUAUAAUAAAACUCAACAAACGAGGAAGAAGAGAAACUGCUGCAACAUAUUAAGAGCCAUAUUUGAAAAACCCACAGCAAAUAUCAUACUUACUGAUUAAAAAUUAAAAGUUUUUUCUCUAAGAUGAAGACA